rnacentral:rRNA from 1 species
CCUACGGGAGGCAGCAGUAGGGAAUAUUGCUCAAUGGGGGAAACCCUGAAGCAGCAACGCCGCGUGGAGGAUGAAGGUUUUCGGAUUGUAAACUCCUUUUGUUAGAGAAGAUAAUGACGGUAUCUAACGAAUAAGCACCGGCUAACUCCGUGCCAGCAGCCGCGGUAAUACGGAGGGUGCAAGCGUUACUCGGAAUCACUGGGCGUAAAGCGCGCGUAGGCGGGAUAGCAAGUCAGAUGUGAAAUCCUAUGGCUUAACCAUAGAACUGCAGUUGAAACUGUUAGUCUAGAGUAUGGGAGAGGUAGGUGGAAUUCUUGGUGUAGGGGUAAAAUCCGUAGAGAUCAAGAGGAAUACUCAUUGCGAAGGCGACCUGCUAGAACAUAACUGACGCUGAUGCGCGAAAGCGUGGGGAGCAAACAGGAUUAGAUACCCUUGUAGUC